AUUGAACGCUGGCGGCAGGCUUAACACAUGCAAGUCGAGCGAGCGGCGGACGGGUGAGUAAUGUCUGGGAAUCUGCCCGAUAGAGGGGGAUAACUACUGGAAACGGUAGCUAAUACCGCAUACUAUCAGAUGUGCCCAGAUGGGAUUAGCUAGUAGGUGGGGUAAUGGCUCACCUAGGCGACGAUCCCUAGCUGGUCUGAGAGGAUGACCAGCCACACUGGGACUGAGACACGGCCCAGACUCCUACGGGAGGCAGCAGUGGGGAAUAUUGCACAAUGGGCGCAAGCCUGAUGCAGCCAUGCCGCGUGUAUGAAGAAGGCCUUCGGGUUGUAAAGCACUUUCAGCGGGGAGGCGUUACUCGCAGAAGAAGCACCGGCUAACUCCGUGCCAGCAGCCGCGGUAAUUC
rnacentral:rRNA from 1 species